GGGAUCAUUUAUAGGUUAAGUGGAAGCCCGUUUAAAAUACCCAAAAGUGGAAGUUGAUUGAGGAAACCAACUUAGGGUUUAAUUGAUUUAACCUAGGUUUAAAACCUCACAUAUUCUCACCCGUGCCCUAAAUCUCACGCCGACCACCUCACUUCCCGUUCCUCCUCCCUCUCCCAAUCCGGCGCCGAGUUUUCCCUUUCCACUUGAUUUCUUUCCAUUGCCGACGCAAAUCCACCGCCGCUCACUAGUAGGAGCCACCAUUGGCUGGUGUGGGUCGACGCCGGAGCGUUCGCAUCGCCGGUUACCCCUUCAUGUCGUGCCCCUAUUCCACCGCCGAGCGUCGCCGCGAUGCACUGCUUGAUGCCAAUUCUCCAGCCACUGAUGGAUCCCGUGAGCCCUCCUUGAGCCGAUUUCCUUCCUCUUCCUCGAUCCGCCGGUGCCGAGAGCCACUCAAACUGCCGAUGCCGAGAGCUACUCGUGCUCCACCCGAGUGCCGCCGAAGAUCCAUUUCUCCACCUUCCUUUUCCCCUCGCAUCCGUAGCCGCUACUUGAUCCUCUACCCGAGCCCUAAAGUCAAGUUGAUUUCGUCGGGCUUUUCUUCGCCGUUUGAGGUGGGUUCUGUCAUCAAGGUAGGUGAGGUAUGAACCGAUUCGUAGCUCUUAUCUCCGAUUCCAACAGCAGCAUCACGGUCACAUACUCAUCGGUUGCUUACCUUUGUUUUGACUGUGAGUUUGAUUCUGCUUCUACUGCUCAAUUGGUUUGCUGAUUAAGAAGGAGUAGUUCCAUCAUAUCACUGAUGAGGUAUAUAUGCAGAAAAUCAUUGUUCCUUUGUUGGUUUAGUUUCGUUUCAAGGUUGCCCUCUUUGAUUCUUAUGUAGACUGUUCUGUUUAAGGGUGUUUGGAUUAUGAACUCAAUUGGGCAUCUAAAAGGUGAAGAUUGUAGAUCUGUAUUGGGGAUUUUGAUUCAAAGUAAUCUAUGUGUGGAGUUUUGGUUGUAUUUCUAUGAGGAUUCGAUGGAUAUGCAUUUGUAUCAGAUUUAGAUUAGAGGUAAGGUGGUUGAAUCCAAGCUUAAAUCUGAUUACAAGGUUGGUUUCGAGUUUAAUAAUAGAUUGGUAUUGUCUAGUGAUUGAUUUAUGAUGUGUUGUAGAUGAUAGCAUGGAUUAAAAGGAUUGUGGAUUGAAUUAAACCUAAUUGAAUUAAUGAAUUAGGUUAUUAUUCAACUAGGGGUUUCCUCUAAUUAGGUAGGGGAGUUAUUUAGUUAUUUAUUUGUGAUGUAAAUAGCUAAAUACGCUGUGUGAUCGCAGGACUUGGGUUCGAGGCGAACGUCUCAACGUGGGGUUGUAUUUGGCACGGUCUACGUAUAAAGGCGGGUACUUCUUGCUUUAUCUCUUUAGCACAUUGAUCUUAGUGCAUGAGCUAUAUGUUUAGUUGGCUACUAUGUUUAUCUUGACUCCACUCUUAUUUUUCCUGCGCUUGAUA